AUUGAACGCUGGCGGCAGGCCUAACACAUGCAAGUCGAGCGAGCGGCGGAAGGGUGAGUAAUGUCUGGGAAACUGCCUGAUGGAGGGGGAUAACUACUGGACACUGUAUCCAAUACCGCAUACCAUCAGAUGGGCCCAGAUGGGAUGAGCGAGUAGGUUGGGUAAAGGCUCACCUAGGCUACGAUCCCUCGCUGGUCGGAGAGGAUGACCAGACACACUGGAACUGAGACACGGUCCAGACUCCUACGGGAGGCAGCAGUGGGGAAUAGUGGACAAUGGGCGAAAGCCUGAUGCAGCCAUGCCGCGUGUGUGAAGAAGGCCUUCGGGUUGUAAAGCACUUUCAGUGGGGAGGCGUUACUCGCAGAAGAAGCACCGGCUAACUCCGUGCCAGCAGCCGCGGUAAUAC
rnacentral:rRNA from 1 species